AUCUUUUUAGUAUUAUUAGUACAAAUGACUUCCAAUCAUUAAGCCUUGGUUAAAGCCCAAGAAAAGAUA
rnacentral:tRNA from 1 species